rnacentral:rRNA from 1 species
UACGUAGGGGGCUAGCGUUGUCCGGAAUCAUUGGGCGUAAAGCGCGUGUAGGCGGCCCGGUAAGUCCGCUGUGAAAGUCGGGGGCUCAACCCUCGGAUGCCGGUGGAUACUGUCGGGCUAGAGUACGGAAGAGGCGAGUGGAAUUCCUGGUGUAGCGGUGGAAUGCGCAGAUAUCAGGAGGAACACCAAUAGCGAAGGCAGCUCGCUGGGACGUUACUGACACUGAGGCGCGAAAGCGUGGGGAGCGAACAGG